CGUAGGCCGCGCUCGUGCAUGCGCAGCGCGGGGAGACCUUGGCGAGGCGGCGGAGAAGCUUAGUGGAGGUGAAAGCUUUUGGCGGAAAGGAAAGUCCAGCGGCAAGAUGCAGAGCUGGAGUCGUGUGUACCGUUCUUUGGCUAAGAGAGGCCAUUUCAAUCGAAUAUCUCAUGGUCUGCAAGGAGUUUCUGCAGUGCCACUGAGAACUUAUGCAGAUCAACCAAUUGAUGCUGAUGUAACAGUGAUAGGUUCUGGUCCUGGAGGAUAUGUUGCUGCUAUUAAAGCUGCCCAGUUAGGCUUCAAGGCCGUCUGCGUUGAGAAAAAUGAGACACUCGGUGGAACAUGCUUGAACGUUGGUUGUAUUCCUUCUAAGGCUUUAUUGAAUAACUCUCAUUAUUACCAUAUGGCCCAUGGAAAAGAUUUUGCAUCUAGAGGAAUUGAAAUGUCUGAAGUUCGCUUGAAUUUAGAGAAGAUGAUGGAGCAGAAGAGUAAUGCAGUAAAAGCUUUAACGGGUGGAAUUGCCCACUUAUUCAAACAGAAUAAGGUUGCUCAUGUAAAUGGAUAUGGAAAGAUAACUGGGAAAAAUCAGGUCACCGCUACGAAAGCCGAUGGCAGCACUCAAGUUAUUGAUACAAAGAACAUUCUUAUAGCCACAGGUUCAGAAGUCACUCCUUUUCCUGGAAUUACGAUUGAUGAAGAUACAGUAGUGUCAUCUACAGGUGCUUUGUCUUUAAAAAAAGUUCCAGAAAAGAUGGUUGUCAUUGGUGCAGGAGUAAUAGGUGUAGAAUUGGGCUCAGUUUGGCAAAGACUUGGUGCAGACGUGACAGCAGUUGAGUUUUUGGGUCAUGUUGGUGGAAUUGGAAUUGAUAUGGAGAUAUCUAAAAACUUUCAGCGCAUCCUUCAAAAACAAGGAUUUAAAUUUAAAUUGAAUACCAAAGUUACUGGUGCUACUAGGAAGCCAGAUGGAAAAAUUGAUGUUUCUAUUGAAGCUGCUUCUGGUGGUAAAGCUGAAGUUAUCACUUGUGAUGUACUCCUGGUUUGCAUUGGCCGACGACCCUUUACUAAGAAUUUGGGACUAGAGGAGCUUGGAAUUGAGCUGGAUCCUAGAGGUAGAAUUCCAGUAAAUACCAGAUUCCAAACUAAAAUUCCAAAUAUCUAUGCAAUCGGCGAUGUGGUUGCUGGUCCAAUGCUGGCUCACAAAGCAGAGGAUGAAGGCAUUAUCUGUGUUGAAGGGAUGGCUGGUGGCGCUGUGCACAUUGACUACAAUUGUGUACCAUCGGUGAUUUACACACACCCUGAAGUUGCUUGGGUUGGCAAAUCAGAAGAGCAGUUGAAAGAAGAGGGUAUUGAGUACAAAGUUGGGAAAUUCCCAUUUGCUGCUAACAGCAGAGCUAAGACAAACGCUGACACAGAUGGCAUGGUGAAGAUACUUGGGCAGAAAUCAACAGACAGAGUAUUGGGAGCACAUAUUCUAGGACCAGGUGCUGGUGAAAUGAUAAAUGAAGCUGCUCUUGCACUGGAAUAUGGAGCAUCCUGUGAAGAUAUAGCUAGAGUCUGUCAUGCACAUCCGACCUUAUCAGAAGCUUUUAGAGAAGCAAACCUGGCUGCAUCAUUUGGGAAAUCGAUCAACUUUUAAAUUAGAAGAUUAUAUUUUUCUGCAAUUUCCUGGGAGCUUUUGUAGAGGUAACAUUUCUGAACAGGAAAUGCUCACAGCUCCAAGAAUUUCUAGGACUGAAUUAUGAAACUUUUGGAAGACUUUGAAGAAAAACACAGCAGCACCACUCAGCUGUGUUGUGGCGGAUGGACUACAGGAGUGAUUCCGAAUGUCUGAUGUAACAUGAGCACAGUUCCAGAGCGUGGAGUACCAGCUCUGUACAUAAGCAGCUUCAAGCCCAUACAAUCCCACAAACUCGAAAGAUGUAAGUGGCUCCAGUGUACAAUUAUGCCUCCCAGCCACCCACCAAAAAUGCUCUCAUGUGAAACUCAGGGAUCUCCUUCAAGAUGGGACAUUCAGAAAGCAAGCCCCACCGCCACCAGGAAGACAGUGGGAGCAACCCAAAGGAGCUUUUCAUACCCGACCCCCUUCAAGCCACGUCUCAUCAAAGGAGCCUCCUCCUUCCACCAACAAAGCAACCCUUUCGUUUUUCCUGAGAAAGAAGGUAGUACCAGUAAGAAUGGAAUAUGAUAACCAUUUAGCUUUCACAAUAUUUCAUUUGGAAUCUAAACCCAGCUGCAUUUUGUUCUGUAUCUUCCUGUCUCCAAAGCUGUACUUUAGGCAUCUAUUUGUAAAUAACUCGUAUAUACAGUGGGCAUGUGUGUAUGUAUCUCAAAGAAAGGAAUAUUUGAGAAGACCUUACCCCUGGGUAUCACCUAACUCAGUAUUAUUGUCGUCUCAGGAAUAUAAUUGUACAAAAAACGGGGAAAAUGCAGAGAUGCUGAAAGGUUGGGGGCCAGUCGAAAAAUGAUGUUUAAGGCUGAGAGAAUACCAUGACCCAACUCAAAGAAAAAGUGCUUAAAAGGGUUUGCGGGUUAAAUUACAUUUAGUAAACCUGAUGGCUCUUUUCCUGAG